rnacentral:rRNA from 1 species
GCAUAUCAAUAAGCGGAGGAAAAGAAACCAACAGGGAUUGCCCCAGUAACGGCGAGUGAAGCGGCAAAAGCUCAAAUUUGAAAUCUGGCCUCCUACGGGGGUCCGAGUUGUAAUUUGUAGAGGAUGCUUCGGGUGUGGCCGCCGUCUAAGUUCCUUGGAACAGGACGUCAGAGAGGGUGAGAAUCCCGUCUUGGGCGGCCGGUCCGCGCCCGUGUGAAGCUCCUUCGAAGAGUCGAGUUGUUUGGGAAUGCAGCUCUAAGCGGGUGGUAAAUUUCAUCUAAAGCUAAAUACUGGUCGGAGACCGAUAGCGCACAAGUAGAGUGAUCGAAAGGUUAAAAGCACCUUGAAAAGGGAGUUAAACAGCACGUGAAAUUGUUGAAAGGGAAGCGCUUGCGGCCAGACUCGGGGGCGGGGUUCAGCGGGUGCUCGUCGCCCGUGCACUCCCCGUCUCCCGGGCCAGCAUCAGUUUCGACGGCCGGUCAAAGGCCUCCGGAAUGUGUCGUCUCUCGGGACGUCUUAUAGCCGGGGGUGCAAUGCGGCCCGUCGGGACUGAGGAACGCGCUUCGGCUCGGAUGCUGGCGUAAUGGCCGUAAGCGGCCCGUCUUGAAACACGGACCAAGGAGUCUAACAUCCACGCGAGUGUUCGGGUGUCAAACCCGUGCGCGCAGUGAAAGCGAACGGAGGUGGGAGCCUUAGGGCGCACCAUCGACCGAUCCUGAAGUCUUCGGAUGGAUUUGAGUAGGAGCGUGGCCGUUGGGACCCGMAAGAYGGUGAACUAUGCCUGAAUAGGGUGAAGCCAGAGGAAACUCUGGUGGAGGCUCGCAGCGGYUCUGACGUGCAAAUCGAUCGUCAMAUUUGGGCAUAGGGGCGMAAGMCUAAUCGAACCAUCUAGUAGCUGGUUCCUGC